rnacentral:rRNA from 1 species
CCUACGGGGGGCAGCAGUGGGGAAUCUUGCGCAAUGCUCGUAAGAGUGACGCAGCGACGCCGCGUGAAUGACGAAGGCCUUCGGGUCGUAAAGUUCUUUCGACAGGGAAGAAAAUGCCUAUAAGUAACUGUGCAUGUAUUGACGGUACCUGCAUAAGCAGCCCCGGCUAACUCCGUGCCAGCAGCCGCGGUAAUACGGAGGGGGCGAGCGUUGUUCGGAAUGACUGGGCGUAAAGAGCACGUAGGCGGUGUUGUAAGUCAGUAGUGAAAGACUAGGGCUCAACUUUGGUAAGGCAUGGGAUACUGUAAUACUUGAGUAUCAGAGAGGAUUGCAGAAUUCCAGGUGUAGCGGUGAAAUGCGUAGAGAUCUGGAGGAAUACCGUUGGCGAAGGCGGCAAUCUGGCUGGAAACUGACGCUGAGGUGCGAAAGCGUGGGGAGCAAACAGGAUUAGAUACCCGUGUAGUC